CAAAUAUUCACUUAAGUUCAUGGGCGCGGAGCUUUUGGGAAAACCCUCGCUCUCUCUCUAACACUUUACUCUCACGAACCUCUCUCUCUCUCUCUCUCAACUCGCUCUUACGUUUAGGGUUUAUGAAGCACCAUCUCCCUCGCGCCGUCCAGGGCACAGAACUCAUCGAGAUCACCAUCUCCGUCACGCCGUUCAGGUCACGGAGGUCACCAUCUCCCUCACGCUCUCCAUGUCACCAAGCUCUUUGAGCUUGCCAUCUCCCUCGUGUUACUUCUGUUUCCAAAUUCGUGUCUUAGAGUUCUGUCGCAGGUUUCAUUGAACAUCUUCAAGGAUUUGAAAGGAUUGGCGGCGUAGUAGCCAGAGUUGGUCUAUACAAAGACGACAUCGAAUUAGUUGCUACCCAGAGUUGGAAGGAUUAUGCAAAACUAAUAUUUUUGAGGGUCUCUGCGUUUGGUUUUUUGUCUUUAUGAAGGCGGGGUUUGGAAAAUCUGAGUUGAGCUUCCCGUCCCGAUGCAUAUCUAUAUAAAUCUCCUUCUAUUGGCUUCAUGAUCAAGAUUUUCCACCCAAAUGUGUUGAUAAGCUAUCUGGUUCUGUCUACUUAGAUGUAAUUAACCAAUCAUGGAGUCCAAUGUUCGGUAAUUACAAUGGUACACUACUUGAGAUCAAAUGUUCAAAGGAUAAUCAAAAUUCAGGGGUUCAUUGGACCAUCACAUCUUUGGAGAAGGACCUGCUGUUGCUGAUAUUGUUACAAGGGAGGGGAAAUACAACUUGGAAAAUGUGCAAGAAGGCAGAGCUAAGUCAACCCAAGAACAAAUUGAUGAAUUUCAGAUCAAAUUAGUA